UUAGAUAGAGUUUCGUCAUGCCAGAAAGAAGACAUCUUCUUCGCCGUUCUCUCUCGAUGUUCCAUCAUUCUUCAUCGUUCUCCGCCGUUCUCUCUUGAUCUUCCACCAUUCUUCUUUGAUGCUUCACCGUGCUCCGUCGUUCUCUCUCGAUGUUCCACCAUUCUCCCUCGAUGCUCCACCGUUCUCCCUCGAUGUUUGAAGUUCAAGGUUGAAGCUGCUAGAUUCCUUGAUUUAUUUGCUGCAUGUCUAAGCCAUAAUUCAGUGUUUUCUGGUUCGCUCAGAAAACUCACUUCAAUAGAAAGAUCAUCUGCCCUGGGAUUCUUCCCUCCAUUGCGGAGUUCAAAUCUGGAGCUAAUUUCUUCAAUUAUAGCCCCUCUCUUGUAAGUUCUGGCUUAUCUAAACUCCCUAAAAGCAGGCUUAUUGAGGAAAAGAGUAUAGAAAAACCUGUGAAAGGUGCUCAAAAUAACUAUGAGCUUCCUCUCAUGCCCCAUUGGUUUAGUUAUGUUGGUAGUCUUAAGUUAUACCAGCCUCUUGCCGGGAUUCUCCGAUUUGUGGGUUUAUCUUUAGUGGCAGUCUUGGUAUGACAGGCAUGGUUCUGGACAGUUAUUGAGGCAAGCUAGCACAGCUGCAUGCAUGCUAAAUGAGAUAAUAUUUGGUAUAUCGGAACGAGCAAGUAAUGAUUUUGCAAGUAUAUUUCAUAAUUGUGCAUUUCAUACUUCUUUCUGGAAGAUGCCCAAGAAUAAAGGUGUAAGGAGUUAUUUAGUUGAGUGCAUUGGUGGGAUCUUACAUGAGUAUUUAGCUGCUGAGGUAUGGAAUGUUCCAAUUGAUUGUGGAACUGUUGACUUGUCGUAGAAUGCUAUGGUUAAAGAAGAUAUUAGCUUAUACUUUUUCCAAGAUGAUUCAAUGCUGCGUGAGGAAAGAAGCUAUUUUCAUAAGCUAACAUGGCUAUUUAUUCAUCAUGCUUUGGUUUCCUUUUCAUAUUGACUUCUGUAGAAAAUUGACAUAAAAUAAAAAAUGGUUUAUUUAUUGUGAAACGGGUUAUUAUUGAUGGAGUAGGAAUCUUUAGUGUGUGCCUUGGAAGAGAUUUUGUUUCUAGUGGAUUUCUACACUCUUCACGUUAUUUAUUGCUGGAGAAUCUUAGUUCUUCAAAUUACAGAGUUAGAAAUUCAGCAGAUUCUACUUUCAACCACAUCUGGAUUUCCAACUGUUAGUCAUGGUCUUUGUUGGGCAGUUAGUUUUGGAAAAUGCAGACUAUGUGGUUGACUCAAUAUGUCGACAAUUACGUCAUUUGGACCUAAAUCAUCAUGUGCCAAAUGUGCUAGCAUCCAUGCUGUCAUACAUAGGAGUGGCUCACAAGAUUUUGCCCCUGCUUGAGGAACCACAUGCUUAGACUUUAUUUCCUAAAGUCUUGUGGUCUAACUAUUUGUAAAUGAACAUAUGCGCUCUGUGUCAAUGGAACUUGAAAUACUGGGUAGACAUCAGCAUCCUGAUCUAACUAUUCCAUUCCUAAAGAACUUUCCCUUCUCUUCUCGAUUUAGCUAGAAUUUUGGAUGUUGAAGUGCCAGAUGAUUCCCCUAUCUUGAAAAACAUCCUUGCAAUGAGAGACCCGAAGCUUAAAAAAAUACCAAGAGAGAUUCUGCACAAAGUGCCUACAACACUGCUCCAUAGUUUGGAGGAAAUGCAAAAUUUGGACUGGAAAUAGCUACUGAAGUUGCAGUGCCAAGAUGGGUCAUUCUUAUUCUCUCCAUCCUCCACAGCUUAUGCUCUCAUACAAACUAAGGAUGAAAAUGCUCACAAAUACCUCGAUAAAACACUCCACAAGUUCAAUGGGGGAGUUCCUAAUGUCUACCCGGUGGAUUUGUUUGAACACACAUGGAUCUUCGACAGAUUUGAUUGUCUUGGAAUUUCAAGAUAUUUUCAGUCAGAAAUCAAAGACUGCGUGACCUAUGUUUCAAGAGGCCACCUGAAGAUGAAGAAAACAUCAACCAAAUGGAGAAACAAAUGAUUCAGAUCAAGAUUGAUAUAGAAGAAUCUUAUUAGACUUUCAUUUUAUUUGACUUUAUAACAAGUAUAACAAAGAUAUUGUAAUAUUUCAGUAGUUUGAAUGUUUAAACUUUAUUAUUUACUUUGAACUUA